rnacentral:rRNA from 1 species
GACGAACGCUGGCGGCGUGCUUAACACAUGCAAGUCGAGCGGUAAGGCCCUUUCGGGGGUACACGAGCGGCGAACGGGUGAGUAACACGUGGGUGACCUGCCCUCAGCUCUGGGAUAAGCCCGGGAAACUGGGUCUAAUACUGGAUAUGACUCCAUGACGCAUGUUGUGGGGUGGAAAGCCUUGUGCGGCUGAGGAUGGGCCCGCGGCCUAUCAGCUUGUUGGUGGGGGGAU